GGAAUUACUGGGCGUAAAGCGCACGCNGGCGGUUGAUUGAGUCAGAUGUGAAAUCCCCGGGCUUAACCCGGGAAUUGCNUNUGAUACUGNUCAGCNAGANUNNNUAGAGGGGGGUAGANUUCCAUGUGUAGCGGUGAANUGNGUAGAGAUGUGGAGGAAUACCGGUGGCGAAGGCGGCCCCCUGGACAAAGACUGACGNUCAGGUGCGAAAGCGUGGGGAGCAAACAGGAUUAGAUACCNUGGUAGUCCACGCUGUAAACGAUGUCGACUNGGAGGUUGUGCCNNUGAGGCGUGGCUUCCGGAGCUAACGCGUUAAGUCGACCGCCUGGGGAGUACGGCCGCAAGGUUAAAACUCAAAUGAAUUGACGGGGGCCCGCACAAGCGGUGGAGCAUGUGGUUUAAUUCGAUGCAACGCGAAGAACCUUACCUACUCUUGACAUCCAGAGAACUUNNCAGAGAUGGNUUGGUGCCUUCGGGAACUCUGAGACAGGUGCUGCAUGGCUGUCGUCAGCUCGUGUUGUGAAAUGUUGGGUUAAGUCCCGCAACGAGCGCAACCCUUAUCCUUUGUUGCCAGCGCGUGAUGGCGGGAACUCAAAGGAGACUGCCGGUGAUAAACCGGAGGAAGGUGGGGAUGACGUCAAGUCAUCAUGGCCCUUACGAGUAGGGCUACACACGUGCUACAAUGGCGUAUACAAAGGGAAGCGACCCCGCGAGGGCAAGCGGAACUCAUAAAGUACGUCGUAGUCCGGAUUGGAGUCUGCAACUCGACUCCAUGAAGUCGGAAUCGCUAGUAAUCGUAGAUCAGAAUGCUACGGUGAAUACGUUCCCGGGCCUUGUACACACCGCCCGUCACACCAUGGGAGUGGGUUGCAAAAGAAGUAGGUAGCUUAACNUCCGGGAGGGCG
rnacentral:rRNA from 1 species